AAUACUCUGUAUUAACCGAAUAUCUAAGUUUAUACUUGGAUGUCUUGUAGGUUGUAUGGGGUAUU
rnacentral:ncRNA from 23 species